rnacentral:rRNA from 1 species
AUGAACGCUGGCGGCGUGCCUAAUACCUGCAAGUCGAGCGAACAGACGAGGAGCUUGCUCCUCUGACGCUAGCGGCGGACGGGUGAGUAACACGUGGAUAACCUACCUAUAAGACUGGGAUAACUUCGGGAAACCGGAGCUAAUACCGGAUAAUAUAUUGAACCGCAUGGUUCAAUAGUGAAAGACGGUUUUGCUGUCACUUAUAGAUGGAUCCGCGCCGCAUUAGCUAGUUGGUAAGGUAACGGCUUACCAAGGCAACGAUGCGUAGCCGACCUGAGAGGGUGAUCGGCCACACUGGAACUGAGACACGGUCCAGACUCCUACGGGAGGCAGCAGUAGGGAAUCUUCCGCAAUGGGCGAAAGCCUGACGGAGCAACGCCGCGUGAGUGAUGAAGGUCUUCGGAUCGUAAAACUCUGUUAUUAGGGAAGAACAAAUGUGUAAGUAACUAUGCACGUCUUGACGGUACCUAAUCAGAAAGCCACGGCUAACUACGUG